UCUUGUAUUAUUAGUAGGUAUGUCUAUUAAAUCAGAUGUGUAACGAAAUUAUCAAGAAAGUAAUGUUAUGAUGUCAAGGUCUAAAUAAUUUCAUUUAUAAUAUCACAAGAGAAACUACUGAUUUUUCGAAAAUAAGACCGUUUUUCGAAGUCCGCAACCAUCCGAGCUCCUUUUCUAUUCGUCGUAGAAUUUUCUGUCUUAUUAAAAAAGCUUGAUAAAUAAUUGAUUUGCUGAAAUGGCUAUAAAAACAUGAUUUUAAUCCUCAUCUAAAUAAAUACGUUAUUCGUCACAAG